rnacentral:rRNA from 1 species
UACGUAGGGUGCAAGCGUUAAUCGGAAUUACUGGGCGUAAAGCGUGCGCAGGCGGUCAUGCAAGACAGAUGUGAAAUCCCCGGGCUCAACCUGGGAACUGCAUUUGUGACUGCAUGGCUGGAGUGCGGCAGAGGGGGAUGGAAUUCCGCGUGUAGCAGUGAAAUGCGUAGAUAUGUGGAGGAACACCGAUGGCGAAGGCAGCCCCCUGGGCCGACACUGACGCUCAUGCACGAAAGCGUGGGGAGCAAACAGG